rnacentral:rRNA from 1 species
AUUGAACGCUGGCGGCAGGCCUAACACAUGCAAGUCGAGCGGAUGAAGGGAGCUUGCUCCUGGAUUCAGCGGCGGACGGGUGAGUAAUGCCUAGGAAUCUGCCUGGGAGUGGGGGAUAACGUCCGGAAACGGGCGCUAAUACCGCAUACGUCCUGAGGGAGAAAGUGGGGGAUCUUCGGACCUCACGCUAUCAGAUGAGCCUAGGUCGGAUUAGCUAGUUGGUGGGGUAAAGGCCUACCAAGGCGACGAUCCGUAACUGGUCUGAGAGGAUGAUCAGUCACACUGGAACUGAGACACGGUCCAGACUCCUACGGGAGGCAGCAGUGGGGAAUAUGGGACAAUGGGAAAGCCUGAUCCAGCCAUGCCGCGUGUGUGAAGAAGGUCUUCGGAUUGUAAAGAACUUUAAGUUGGGAGGAAGGGCAGUAAGUUAAUACCUUGCUGUUUUGACGUUACCAACAGAAUAAGCACCGGCUAACUUCGUG